rnacentral:misc_RNA from 1 species
GUACACACCGCCCGUCACGUCACGAAAGUCGGCAACACCCGAAGCCGGUGGCCCAACCCUUGUGGAGGGAGCCGUCGAAGGUGGGGCUGGCGAUUGGGACGAAGUCGUAACAAGGUAGCCGUACCGGAAGGUGCGGCUGGAUCACCUCCUUUCUAAGGAGCACCUCCCGGCGAAAGUCGGGUAGGAGCCCGCCACCUCCGAAUGUGGGGUGGGGGUGCUCAAUGGCGGAGACACUGGCUUAGUUAACCCUGGCAACGGCCACAGUUAGCUCUAGUACGGCCCACCUCUUCGGGGGUGCGCAUGGAACGGGCUUGGUUGGUGCGGCUGGGGAUGGCACUAAACACCCUGUUGGGUCCUGAAGGAACAAGCACUUGGUGCGGGUUUUUUCUGGGAUCGAAUCGCCAGGCAUGGCCUGGUCCACGCAUACCGCCGGCGGCGCCGGGUUGUGGUGGUGGAUCGAUGGUUGUGGGUUGGUUGUUUGUUGAGAAUUGCACAGUGGACGCGAGCAUCUUUGAGGUCAAGUUGUCAAGGGCGCACGGUGGAUGCCU